UUCAAGUAAAGAACACUGGCAAUAGUUUACCAUCACAUUUAGGUGACACCACAGAGUCUGUUGCUGCAAGAGUUCCAGCUGAAUACUUCUUACAGAACAGAAGUCCAUCAAUAAUACUCAUUGAGACAUAUAAAGGGCACUCCACAGGUGAUUCUCUGAAAUGAUGCCAUUAAGGGAGUAUUCACACUCAAAGCUCAUCUUUCGAUUGCACAAGUUGAUUCCCCCUCUUCUUGAUAUUUAAAUGGCCGUCUUCUUUGAUUUAGUUGGAUUAACUAAUAUAAGGACCAGAUCAUAAGCAAAGAUUGGGUAGAACUUCCUCAACUUUAUGAAGAACCUCCCCG
rnacentral:misc_RNA from 1 species